GAGUUUGCCUGAGGUACCAUCAUCACAGUCCCAUCCUUGAGCCCUCUGAAAGAGCUGCUCUUUCUCAUCCCAUUCCUCUCUAGGAAGAAGAUCCUCCUGCAGAAGAAUGGAGUUGUGGGCAGCAGUGGAUUCAGUAUUCAAGGCACUGGGUAGAACUGCUCCUGAGAUAGACUGCAUGUGGGAGUGUUCCCCUUUGCACCCACAGGGGAUUUCUGGGCUGCAGGAGAUUGCUGCACUGGUGUUGAAGACCUUAAGGCUGCUUUGCAGGUUUCCUCACUGGAUCUGGGGUUGUUUUCUGGGGCCAGAGUCAAAUCCAUGAAACUUAAGGAAUUCCUCUUCUGGAGCUGUAUGGACACAUGUAACUUGAGUGCAUGUCCGCUCAUAAAUACCAGUACGUAUGUUCCUAGUUGCUGACACUGUGUCCUUAAUUUCCUCAUACUUCUCCCAGCUCCCUGGCUCAUCAUAUUCUUGCCUCUGCUUUAAUUUCCUUCCCCUUCUCUUGUCUUAGUGAUGACAGGUCAGAAAUCUGGAUGGAGCAGAAGCACAGGACUCUUGAAGGACUCCAGUAAAAAAUGUCAUGACUCUUUUGGAUCUGCUGAGGCUCAGCAGAUGUGAGGGAGAGUCCCCAUGGGAGCAUAUGCAAAAACUCUACACUAGUUUCCUGUUCCCUCCCUAGGCUUCUUCAUGGGAAUCCAGGCUCCUGGGUCUUGCUCAGUGAAUGUAUGAAGAAAAUUCAACAGUGACUUCAACAGUCCUGAGGUUACCUAAGGGAGGGGUCAGCAACAGUGUUAAGAAGAUAUAGAACAGGUGUUCCUUACCCCUGUGCCUGUUUGCCCAC
rnacentral:lncRNA from 1 species